rnacentral:lncRNA from 1 species
CUUAGCGGGCUGCUGACUGACAACAGGUGAGCAGCGGGAGUUCAUGACAGAAACACGCCGAGCAGAGGGCAGCUCAGCGGGAUUAAAGAGGCGACGAGAGGACGCUGACGGGAAGCACGCCUUGAGUUGUCGUGAAGGUCAGCUGAUGAAGGAGUCUGGCCCUGCUGCAUUCCUCUCCGACAUACUGAGCUGAUGAACCACAUGUGCUGCUGCCUUCAUGCCUUCCUCGUUCCAUGCUCAUUAGCUAUGAAUUCCUCCAUUGUACCAGCGUUUGGAAGAAGAUGGGACGUCCCACGGGGCUUUUGUUUCCUGAGAGAGGAAACUUCAAUCACUUUAACGCUCUGUCUUCAUUGGUCCGGAUAGUUCUCCUUGAGCCCUCGCAAGGUGUCGUCUGAUUGGUCCAUCCUUCCACUGUGAAGACUUUUCAGCCAAUCAGCAUCUGUCUGGGUGAGUGCUGCUUCCUCUUCGUCCCACCAGCUGCUGCAGUCAAUCGGCUUUUUCAGCAGCGUGUGUGUGUGUGUGU